UACGGAGGGUGCAAGCGUUAUCCGGAUUCACUGGGUUUAAAGGGUGCGUAGGUGGGCCCGUAAGUCAGUGGUGAAAUCUCCGAGCUUAACUCGGAAACUGCCAUUGAUACUAUAGGUCUUGAAUUAUCUGGAGGUUAGCGGAAUAUGUCAUGUAGCGGUGAAAUGCUUAGAUAUGACAUAGAACACCGAUUGCGAAGGCAGCUGGCUACAGGUAUAUUGACACUGAGGCACGAAAGCGUGGGGAUCAAACAGG
rnacentral:rRNA from 1 species